CGACCGCACCACCGAAAAGCUAGGCAGGGCAGCUGGCCUGACCAGGAGCCCAGGACAGGAGGAGCGCAAAACCCCACUCCACCCGGCGCGGCGUAGGGGUUUUCUCCGUCUCCUUCCCUUUCUCCUCCUCCUCACCGGACAGGCGCGAGGGAUGGAGCCCCGGGGGCGAGGUUGCGGAGGCGGCGAGGCGGGGCGAGCCAUGGACACGGGGGCGCCCUUUGUCUACCGCAGCUUCUCCAGCGACGGCAACAGUAAGCCCGCGCUGAUACCUUCCCUUCCAUCUCUCCUGCCACUGACCUCUCCCCGCGUGAGUGGGAACCGCGAUCUGCAAUGUAAUGUUGAUGGCGAUACCUCUCGCUCUGUGUCUGUGUGUGCGCAGGUGAGGCCGCCAUAGUGAUGCUUAAGAAAAGAAAAACAAAGCGAACAGCAAUAUAGCUCUUGAUUAUUUUGCUGAUGGUGGGGAAAAUUAGAUAGAUGUUUCGUAGGUAGCCUACUAGCCUACCCAUAUGCUUAAUUUUCUUUAUUUCUUCUUUAUUUUGAGACCAGCCAGUAUGUUUUGUUGCAAUUUUCGUUUUGGCACCAUCUAUGGUAGAAAUUUGAUGGGGAUAACCACUUGCCGCUUUCUAAAAUAAAUUUACUUUGUAGUGCCUAUGGAAAUCAAUCUCUUUCUUUUUGGUGGCACUGUAAAUAGCCGCCCUGAUUUGGUCAUGCAACUGAGGUUUGCCUUAUCUAGGGGUUUGGAUUAGCUUGUGUAUGUCCAAGUUAUUUUUUCACCUAGUUCUGAUUGCAAGAUUGCUUGCUUUAGCUCCAAUGCUCCAUCUUAACCAUGAGAUUAUCGCCAUGCCAUCAUCUUUUGUUUACAUUAGAUACUCUAUUCAUAUUGUGGUCAAGUCUUUACGCGAUAUAUUUCGUGCAAAUUGAAUGUUUGAUGCACUUAGCUUCUGUUGUUCACUUUGCACUAGUGAGGCUGUUGUUUGUGAUUGUGCACUGCUUAUGUUCACUUUCCUAUUCCUACCCUCAAUCUGAUUUGUUUUGGUGUUAUGUUGGGCCAAAGGUAUUAUGAAAAGCCUUGGCAUACAAAACAGCGACUGAGCAGCAGUCCUUUCUUCUACCAUGGGUGGCUUUGGGGUGCUGCACUGCGCAGCAUGCCAGGGCCAUUUGGAGGUCUGCAAGUACCUGG
rnacentral:lncRNA from 1 species